GACGAACCGUGCGAACGUUAUUCGGAAUCACUGGGCUUAAAGCGCGUGUAGGCGGGUCGGCGCGUCGGCCGCUGAAAUCCCCCGGCUCAACCGGGGAAGCGGCGCCGAUACGGCCGGCCUGGAGGGACGUAGGGGGGGCUGGAACUUCCGGUGGAGCGGUGAAAUGCGUUGAGAUCGGAAGGAACGCCCGUGGCGAAAGCGAGCCCCUGGACGUCUACUGACGCUGAGACGCGAAAGCCAGGGGAGCGAACGGG
rnacentral:rRNA from 1 species